UACGUAGGGGGCUAGCGUUGUCCGGAAUCAUUGGGCGUAAAGAGCGUGUAGGCGGCCCGGUAAGUCCGCUGUGAAAGUCGGGGGCUCAACCCUCGAAUGCCGGUGGAUACUGUCGGGCUAGAGUGCGGAAGAGGCGAGUGGAAUUCCUGGUGUAGCGGUGAAAUGCGCAGAUAUCAGGAGGAGCACCGAUUGCGAAGGCAGCUCGCUGGGACGUUACUGACGCUGAGACGCGAAAGCGUGGGGAGCAAACAGG
rnacentral:rRNA from 1 species